AAAUUGAAGAGUUUGAUCAUGGCUCAGAUUGAACGCUGGCGGCAGGCCUAACACAUGCAAGUCGAGCGGAAACGAGUUAUCUGAACCUUCGAGGGACGAUAACGGCGUCGAGCGGCGGACGGGUGAGUAAUGCCUAGGAAAUUGCCCUGAUGUGGGGGAUAACCAUUGGAAACGAUGGCUAAUACCGCAUGAUGCCUACGGGCCAAAGAGGGGGACCUUCGGGCCUCUCGCGUCAGGAUAUGCCUAGGUGGGAUUAGCUAGUUGGUGAGGUAAGGGCUCACCAAGGCGACGAUCCCUAGCUGGUCUGAGAGGAUGAUCAGCCACACUGGAACUGAGACACGGUCCAGACUCCUACGGGAGGCAGCAGUGGGGAAUAUUGCACAAUGGGCGCAAGCCUGAUGCAGCCAUGCCGCGUGUGUGAAGAAGGCCUUCGGGUUGUAAAGCACUUUCAGUCGUGAGGAAGGUGGUAGUGUUAAUAGCACUAU
rnacentral:rRNA from 1 species